GGCGGAGCGCUGGAACGCCGGCCCCGAGCAGCUGGAGGCUGGGGCGUCCCUGCGGAAGCGUGCGGGGCUGGUCACGCUCCGGCCCGGCUGACUCUGGAGCCACCCUGCCGGCGUGAGACGAGGCCGUGCACGCCCUCCCAGACCCUCCGCUUCGGGAAUUCGCGGAGGAGCGGCGCUCCCCACUCUCUCACAUGUUCAGCGCCGAAUCACGCGCGGGCCGCGACAGCUUCAGGAUGGCGGACGCGAGCGCUCUCUGGUCCCCAGGUCCCUCCGCGCCCCUGGAGCGUGGUCACCCCGGACCGCCCUGUCUCUGAGGAAAAACCGCCCCGAGCCCGGGACUGCGGCUUCUCCCACGCGGGGCAGCCGGGGAGUGUGAGGGGGCCGCCCGCCUGGAGACCAGGCCGGAGGCGUGAGGGGGCUGCUCUGCCGGGACCCGGUUGCGCGGGGCGGUGCGCGGCGGGUCGCGGGAAGAGGCGGAAGGUCCCCCUCGCCUUCGGCUUCUCCCUGCCCGGCCGCCGGUGUCCCGCCCGCCGCCGCGCACAGCCUGGCCCAAGCCGCGGCGAUGGCCCGGCCGCGGGAUCCGCGGCGCCUCUUUAGGCUGGUGCAGGAGGGCCGGCUCCGCGCCCUGCAGGAGGAGCCGCUGGCGGCAGCGGGCUGCCCGGGGCCGGCCGGGGAUACCCUCCUGCACUGCGCCGCGCGCCACGGGCGUCUGGACGUGCUGGCCUAUCUGGCCGAGGCCUGGGGCAUGGACAUCGAGGCCGCCAACCGAGACUACAAGCGGCCCCUGCACGAGGCGGCCUCCAUGGGCCACCGGAACUGCGUGCGCUACCUCCUGGGCCGAGGGGCAGCGGUCGACUCCCUGAAGAAGGCGGACUGGACUCCUCUGAUGAUGGCCUGCACAAGGAAGAACCUGGGGGUGAUCCAGGACCUGGUGGAACAUGGCGCUAAUCCACUCCUGAAGAACAAAGAUGGCUGGAACAGUUUCCACAUUGCCAGUCGAGAAGGUGACCCUCUGAUCCUCCAGUACCUGCUCACUGUUUGCCCAGAUGCCUGGAAGACAGAGAGCAAAAUCAGAAGAACUCCUCUGCACACUGCAGCAAUGCAUGGCCAUUUAGAGGCAGUCAAGGUGCUUCUUGAGAGGUGCCAAUAUGAACCAGACUGCAGAGACAACUGUGGCGUCACCCCUUUGAUGGACGCAAUCCAGUGUGGUCACAUCGACAUCGCUAGGCUGCUCCUCAAUGAACAUGGGGCUUGUCUUUCAGCAGAAGACAGCCUGGGUGCCCAGGCUCUGCACAGGGCAGCCGUCACAGGGCAGGACGAAGCCAUCCGAUUCUUGGUCUCCGAACUUGGCAUUGAUGUAGAUGUGAGAGCCACAUCAACCCACCUCACAGCACUUCAUUAUGCAGCUAAGGAAGGACAUACAAGUACAAUUCAGACUCUCUUAUCCUUUGGAGCUGACAUCAACUCUAAAGAUGAAAAAAAUCGAUCAGCCCUGCAUCUGGCCUGUGCAGGUCAGCACUUGGCCUGCGCCAAAUUUCUCCUGCAGUCAGGACUGAAGGAUUCUGAAGACAUCAUGGGCACCCUGGCUCAGCAGCUCACAAAGAGAUCAGAUGUCCUUUGGGGCUUUGGCCACAGCUCAAUGACAUAGGAUGUUUCCAAGAGGAGGCAAUAAAGCACAUGGGAUCCUGAAAAAAAUGCAGAUUCCCGCAGGAAGGGGUGGAAGGGUGCUGGGCCAGUCAAAAAACUACCUACUGGAUACCAUUCUCACUGCCUGAGUGAGGCGAUCCUUACUGCAGACCUCAGUAUCAUGCAAUACAGCCACAGUUGCUGGGAGCCUGAGUAAGACAUGGCACCUUUCACUUUUCGGCUCAGAGAAGGCCAAGUGCAACUUUCUUUAGUCAUCCUGAAGCUGAGUUCAACUGACCCCAGCGCCCUACAUUUGACCCCAGCAAGAUCAAAGUUGUAUAUCUGAGGUACACCAGUGACAAAGUCAGUGCCACAUCUGCGCUCGCUCCCAAGGUCAGCCCCCUGGGUCUGUCUCCAAAAAUGGUUGUUGAUGGCAUCACCAGUCAUUGAUUGGAAGGGUCUGAGGAUGACAGUGAAACUGACCAGCCACAACAGACAGGCCCGGAGUGAGGUGGUGCCUUCCACCUCUGCCCUGAUCAUCACAACCCUCAGAAAUCACCAGUAGACAGAAAGAAACAAAAAAACACAGUGGAAACACCACUUUUGAUGAGAUUAUCAACAUUGCCAACAGAUGCAGCACCAGUCUUUUUAGCCAGAGAACUCUCUGGAACCAUUAAAGAAUUCCUGGGAACUGCCCAGUCUGUGAGCUGUAAUGUUGAUGGUAUCGCAGAUGAUACCAACAGUGGAGCAAUGGAAUCCCCAGCUACUUAAAAAGUGCAAAGGAAAAUAUUUUAAGACAGGGUUAUCUGAUAACCAAAAAAAAAAAAGACAUUGCAUCUAAGCCACUUAGCACUGUGUCUGGUGUGUAGCAAAUAAUAAAUGUCAGCAAUUCCCAAAGAACCCAGGAAUAGAAAGCAUUUAGUAAAAAAUUAGCUCUUGG